CUUCACCAUACCCUCCGAAUAUGAACCCUGUGAGCUACAAUAAUGGCUGUCUGGCAAGACAUGGGAGUAAUCAAAUGGUUUCUGAUUGGAUCUAAGUCCGGCUUCACAAGAUGAAAUGAAUACAUAACAUCAUUAUUGGGCCAAUAACUUAUGACUAGAUAAGUCAUAGGCUCCAGAAGGAAGAGUCACUACUGGUCCUCAGAAGAUGUAAUUAAAAUCUUUGAAGGAGGGGAAGAGGAAGAAUGAAUAUCCAAAGAGAUGUUUUAUCUACAUAUGUGUCUAUGCACUAUAUGAGUAUCUGCUGUUCAUGGAGUCCAGAAGAGGACAUCAGCUACCCUAGGACUGGAAUUACUCACAGCU